AUUGAACGCUGGCGGAAUGCUUUACACAUGCAAGUCGAACGGCAGCACGGACGUCGGUCUGGUGGCGAGUGGCGAACGGGUGAGUAAUGUAUCGGAACGUGCCCAGUCGUGGGGGAUAACGUAGUGAAAAUUACGCUAAUACCGCAUACGAUCUAUGGAUGAAAGCGGGGGAUCGCAAGACCUCGCGCGAUUGGAGCGGCCGAUAUCAGAUUAGGUAGUGGGUGGGGUAAAGGCCCACCAAGCCAACGAUCUGUAGCUGGUCUGAGAGGACGACCAGCCACACUGGAACGGAGACACGGUCCAGACUCCUACGGGAGGCAGCAGUGGGGAAUUUUGGACGAUGGGCGAAAGCCUGAUCCAGCCAUUCCGCGUGCAGGAUGAAGGCCCUCGGGUUGUAAACUGCUUUUGUACAGAACGAAAAGGUUUCUACUAAUACUAGGAGCUCAUGACGGUACUGUAAGAAUAAGCACCGGCUAACUACGUGCCAGCCGCCGCCGUAA
rnacentral:rRNA from 1 species